rnacentral:rRNA from 1 species
GACGAACGCUGGCGGCGUGCUUAACACAUGCAAGUCGAACGGAAAGGCCCUGCUUUUGUGGGGUGCUCGAGUGGCGAACGGGUGAGUAACACGUGAGUAACCUGCCCUUGACUUUGGGAUAACUUCAGGAAACUGGGGCUAAUACCGGAUAGGAGCUCCUGCUGCAUGGUGGGGGUUGGAAAGUUUCGGCGGUUGGGGAUGGACUCGCGGCUUAUCAGCUUGUUGGUGGGGUAGUGGCUUACCAAGGCUUUGACGGGUAGCCGGCCUGAGAGGGUGACCGGCCACAUGGGGACUGAGAUACGCCCAGACUCCUACGGGAGGCAGCAGUGGGGAAUAUUGCACAAUGGGCGGAAGCCUGAUGCAGCAACGCCGCGUGCGGGAUGACGGCCUUCGGGUUGUAAACCGCUUUCGCCUGUGACGAAGCGUGAGUGACGGUAAUGGGUAAAGAAGCACCGGCUAACUACGUG